rnacentral:lncRNA from 10 species
AGGUGAUCCUGAUGCUCAUGGCCAUGCAUUGAGAACAACUGUGUAAGAAGAUAUGGAUAAUGCUUGAAAACUACUAGUAUUAGCACCAUUUUGAUGCCUAAGGACCCUGCCUUGUAUUUCUGUAAUGAAAGAUUACAGACGCAAGAUUUAUUAUCUUUACAGCAUAUACUCCAAGGAAGAUCUCAAUAAAUGCUUAAUGGAAAUAAGUAAAGGUAUGAAUGCUGGACCUAAUACAGGAGGAAGACCCAGGUGAUUUGUGUACAAUUUGGACACAAGCUCUUGCCAACCACCUGAGAGAUUCCAACAAUGAGAUGAGAUUCCUUACCUUGAACCAGAUAAUUUGGAAUGAAUGUCUAGGCAGAACUUCUGCUUCAGAAUGACCACAAUUAACUACCAGACAACCAACUUUGGGGACAUAUCAGUAGGUACGAUAACAGGGGAAUGAGCCCUAGACUUAAAAUCAGAGGAUCUCAGUUUGCAUCCUGGCUCUGUGCCUUGCUAAUUGAGAUGCUUGGGGUAAGUUGCUUGCUUGAUGGUUUUAUGCACUUAGCCAUUCAUUCAAUGCCUUUCACUGAGAAACUACUGUGUGCCUAGUACUGUGCCGUACGUUUUACACAUUAUCUCACUUAAUUAAUACAACACCUCUAGUAGAUAAUCAUCUUCCCUAUACAUAAUUUUAGAGAGGAAGAAAAAUCACAUGUUGGGGCUCUCCUAGCAAUUGUACACUUAAGUCUCCAGACUUUAUUUCCAGGGUCCUGACCUUUAAUUCCUGGGGCACAGUUAUUAUUAAUUUUCCUGCAUGACCUCUGAGACCUCAUGGGCCCAUAAAGGGAAUCAAGCUUGGAUGAAAUUUUAGAGUUGGAAAGAACAUGAGAGAUGGUCUAAUUCACCUGCAUUCAAAUGAAGAUUCAGAGUCAAGAUCCCAAAUUAGAAAAUGGGAGGUGACAUUUCCAGAAUAACUCCUUCCCUCACUCUGGGGCUCUCCAGCUUUGGCUUCUCCUGGGUCAACAGGUGGUCCGUCAGAGAGGCAACAUUCAUGGUGAGUGGUGUCCGAUCCAAGAUGUCUGCAGAGGCUGGCCAUCCUGAAGUGUUCAUUUAGAUACUAAGGACCGAUGGUCCCUGCCUCUUGCCUUCAUCUGAACCUGACACUCCAAAUCGAUGCCUAACGGAUCUUUCCAUUUUUACAUCAGACUAACCAAUUAAAAACAACCAAACAAACCUAUGUGUACUGGUGGGAGGGAAGGGGAAUGGAAAGUACUAUGCAUUUGUUAGAAGAAACCCUCAAAUGUAACUGAACUGGAUGAAAGUUAUGAAGUUCUCUAUGCACACAAACUAGAAAACCUAGAAGAAAUGGAUAAAUUUCUGGACACAUACACUUUUUCAAGUCUGAACCAGGAAGAAAUUGAUUCCCUGAACAGACCAAUAAUGGUCUCUCUAGUUGAAUUAGUAAUAAAUACCCUACCAACCAAAAAAGCCCAGGACCAGAUAGAUUCACAGCCAAAUUCUACCAAAUGUACAGAGAAGAGACGGUACAAUUCCUACUGAAACCAUUCCAAAAAAUUGAUGAGGAGGGACUCCUCCCCAGCUCAUUCUUUUUUUUUUUUUUUUUGAGAUGGAAUCUUACUCUGUCACCAGGCUGGAGUGCAGUGGCACGAUCUCAGCUCACUGCAACCUCCACCUCCCGGGUUCAAGCGAUUCUCCUGCCUCAGCCUCCCAAGUAGCUGGGACUACAGGUGCACACCACCACACCCA